rnacentral:rRNA from 1 species
UACGUAGGGUGCAAGCGUUGUCCGGAAUUAUUGGGCGUAAAGAGCGUGUAGGCGGCCCGAUUAGUCCGCUGUGAAAGCCCCCGGCUCAACUGGGGAGGGUCACUCGAUACUGAUCGACUCGAAGGCAGGAGAGGGAAGUGGAAUUCCCGGUGUAGUGGUGAAAUGCGUAGAUAUCGGGAGGAACACCAGUGGCGAAGGCGACUUCCUGGCCUGUUCUUGACGCUGAGGCGCGAAAGCUAGGGGAGCAAACGGG